rnacentral:rRNA from 1 species
CGGCAACAGCUCAAAUUUGAAAUCUGGCUUCGGCCCGAGUUGUAAUUUGCAGAGGAAGCUUUAGGCGCGGCACCAACUGAGUCCCCUGGAACGGGGCGCCACAGAGGGUGAGAGCCCCGUAUAGUUGGACGCCUAGCCUGUGUAAAGCUCCUUCGACGAGUCGAGUAGUUUGGGAAUGCUGCUCAAAAUGGGAGGUAAAUUUCUUCUAAAGCUAAAUACCGGCCAGAGACCGAUAGCGCACAAGUAGAGUGAUCGAAAGAUGAAAAGCACUUUGAAAAGAGGGUUAAAUAGCACGUGAAAUUGUUGAAAGGGAAGCGCUUGUGACCAGACUUGCGCCCGGCUGAUCAUCCGGUGUUCUCACCGGUGCACUCUGCCGGGCUCAGGCCAGCAUCGGUUCUCGCGGGGGGAUAAAGGUCCUGGGAACGUAGCUCCUCCGGGAGUGUUAUAGCCCAGGGCGUCAUGCCCUCGCGGGGACCGAGGUUCGCGCAUCUGCAAGGAUGCUGGCGUAAUGGUCAUCAGCGACCCGU